rnacentral:lncRNA from 1 species
CAGCACUCUUUCUGCAUUACAACACCAAGUGAACAUCCAAAUUGUCAGUUAGUAAGAGAAAGCACAAGGUCAGCAAAAAAUUAGAAAGACUAAAAGGAAACUAAAGAAACUAACAAAGGCUUUUAUUGUUUGGUUGUUAGGUAGCUUUCAUUAAAACUCCAAAAAAGAGGCAACCUUCACACUCAUUUAGUAGAAUACUGACAAGAAGAAUAAAAAAAAUCAAUCAUAACAAGCUUCCAAAGAUGAUAUUCAUAAUUCAAUGGGGCUACAGGAGGAUGACAAAUCCUCACACACCCCAUCCCACACGACCAAGAGUACAACAAAAGCAAAAAAACCACAUAAGAAAGAAGAAUCCGGGCUAAACAAAGGCAAACAAAGCAACACUCCAGAGCCCAGGAAAAAAAAAAAAAAGUCUUAAGAAUGACAUCAUAGCAAAAUUAAACUAACAUUACCAAGUCUACAUCUAGUUCAUCACUAAUAUGAAAUCCUCACCUUGUCUCCUAAUUAAUGGUUCAAAUACAAAUUAAAAAGUUGUGAACCUGCAGAGACCAUAGCCCAAUAUUAAAACCUAAAACUUAGAAUAUAAAUUAGAAAACUCACGUUUUGGUAGGAUGCCUAUUAAAGUACUCAGAUACACACUUCUUUAGUAUAAGUUACACAGAUAAUGGUAUUUAUAGGACGAACCCAGAAUCCAUUGAUCCUCCUUCGCUGAUACAAACCAAAGUUUGUCAGUUGCUCACCAGAGUGAGUUAUUGGGAUUCAAGAAAUAGGUUUCACUUCCACUUUCG